UCAAAGGUUGAAGCAAGCAUUGCAGCUACUUCUCCUAAGACACCAACUAAGCAAGAUACUCAACUUGGUACUCCUACAAGUCCAAUGACAAGGCAAAGGGCAGCAGCUAUUGCAAUUGCUUCAACACCUCCUAGUGCAUCUACAAGGAGCAAAACUGCUACUCCUAGCCCUCUUCGAAACAACAAUGCCAUGUGAAGGAGGAUAUCAGCAAGCUUUUGGAUGUUGAUCGCCCAAAUCAGUUAUAUGGAUUUUGGUUCGUUGACCAGGGAGAGCGGAGAGCUGCAUUACUUUGAUCAGUUGCAGUUCUAACUCUCUUUAUUAUAACUUGUAGGAGAUUAAUUAGAUGCUAUGUAACCGGAGCCAGUACUUCUAUCCUAUGGUAUGAUGACUGUUUGCAACCGUGCAUGCAUGCUUAGUAGCAGAAUGGUGUACGCGCAUGCAUUCUUAGUAGCAGAAUGGUGUAUGUGACUAGGAGGUGCUCUUUUGCUAAUUGCUAUACUGUGUUGUGAGAACCAUUUU